rnacentral:rRNA from 1 species
UGCAAGUCGAGCGGCAGCGCGGGGCAACCUGGCGGCGAGCGGCGAACGGGUGAGUAAUGCAUCGGAACAUGUCCAUUUGUGGGGGAUGGCCCGGCGAAAGCCGGAUUAAUACCGCAUACGCCCUGAGGGGGAAAGCGGGGGACUUCGCAAGAGGCCUCGCGCGAAUGGUUUGGCCGAUGCCGGAUUAGCUAGUUGGUGGGGUAAAAGCCUACCAAGGCGACGAUCCGUAGCUGGUCUGAGAGGACGACCAGCCACACUGGGACUGAGACACGGCCCAGACUCCUACGGGAGGCAGCAGUGGGGAAUUUUGGACAAUGGGCGCAAGCCUGAUCCAGCCAUGCCGCGUGUGCGAAGAAGGCCUUCGGGUUGUAAGGCACUUUCGGACGGAACGAAAUCGCGCGGGUUAACAGCGCGCGUGGACGACGGUACCGUAAGAAGAAGCACCGGCUAACUACGUGCCAGCAGCCGCGGUAAUACGUAGGGUGCGAGCGUUAAUCGGAAUUACUGGGCGUAAAGGGUGCGCAGGCGGCCCCGCAAGUCAGACGUGAAAUCCCCGGGCUUAACUUGGGAAUGGCGUUUGAAACUACGGGGCUGGAGUGUGGCAGAGGGAGGUGGAAUUCCACGUGUAGCGGUGAAAUGCGUAGAGAUGUGGAGGAACACCGAUGGCGAAGGCAGCCUC